rnacentral:misc_RNA from 1 species
UCUCCGUUGGUGAACCAGCGGAGGGAUCAUUACCGAGUUUACAACUCCCAAACCCAAUGUGAACGUUACCAAACUGUUGCCUCGGCGGGAUCUCUGCCCCGGGUGCGUCGCAGCCCCGGACCAAGGCGCCCGCCGGAGGACCAACCCAAAACUCUUAUUGUAUACCCCCUCGCGGGUUUUUUUUAUAAUCUGAGCCUUCUCGGCGCCCCUUCGUGGGCGUUUCGAAAAUGAAUCAAAACUUUCAACAACGGAUCUCUUGGUUCUG